GGUGAUUGCGCUCAAGCAACCUAACAUACCUACAUAGGCCUCUUUCUUGGAUUGAACAAGGACCAUUUUGUGACCGAGAAUUGUUGGGCUCCUCGCCCAUGUGACUAGAAAGGCUUAGAUAUCCAGCUAUUACAUUGCGAAUUAUUACAUUGCGAAUGAAGUUUAUCGGGCGUUGAGGGGGCUAUGAUGACUAAACGAGAUUUGCCAGCUCAUAUUCUAUGACUUUGGAAGUGCAAAGGUUUUGUUUUGAGUUGAUUCUUACUUGAUCUAGAUCUUGGUGGGUCCUUAUGAACGGACUAAAGAUGGUUUUCAAGAUCCCAUAAGAAACUACUUUUGGACUCAGCUAGAGAAGAUCUUGGCGGGUCUGUUCUGGGAGCAACAUCUAUGGCUACCUAGACUGGGAAGCAUCCAUGUAAGCUUAAAGAUGAUGUAACUUCACCAGGCGGAACCACCAUAGUCGGGGUUCAUGAGCUCAAGGAGUCUGGUUUCCGUGGGAUACUGAUGAAAGCGGUUGUUGCUGCUGCAAAGCGUAGCCUCGAGCUUUCUCAGAAUUAGUUUUUUUAUGUAUUUCUCGACAUGCAUUAAACAAGUUGACAUUGUCAGCCAUUGUUAGUUUACAUGGCCAUAUUUAGUGGAGUAACCUGCUAUUCUGAU
rnacentral:lncRNA from 1 species